CAGGAGGGCGAAGACCUGGGCCCAGCGACCUCUCUCCUGAGCCUCACUAGCCACAGGGAGCCGGUAGACACAGGACAGGCCUGUGAGGAGCAGAUGUUCAAAGUCCCAAGGGCUAAGAGGGGGUCCCUUCCGCAGGUCCUGGAACUGCUGCAGCCGCUGCUCAGCACCCUCCAAGUCCCUGGGCACAUGGUGCUGCAGGAGGAGACUGAGCCGGCGGCCUGGACGUGUGGAUGCCAGUUCCUCGUCCUGGAUGUGCAGCUGCCCCAUGAUAUCCAGCUCCAGCCCAGACCAGAGCAGCUGCAAGGGGAGCCGUGGACAGCGUGACCUGAAACUGCCAGUGACCCUCCCCAAAGGUCAAGGACCCCUUUGAGAAGAACCUCUUUCUUUCCUGCUUCUCGGAUCUUAGUUCCCCAACCAGGGAAUGAACGUGGGCCCAUGGCAGUGAAAGCGUGGAGUCCUAACCACUGGACCGCCAGGGAAUUCCCUCAACACACUCUUAUAAAUUGACGAUGACAAAACUGUGUCAGAGUGGAGCUAGGAUGGAAUCCAGUACUGAUGCUCUUAAGCCACCACAAUCCAAUGGCCAUAAUUCCUGCCCAGGAUCUCUACCAGGUCCUCCCUGCCCAGACUGCUGCCCAGUUCCAAGGCUCCUACCUCAACAUAGCCAGACAGGGGGAAAUCUUUCCGGAAAGGAUGUCCCUCAAAACCAUAGUCUGUUAGGAUCCUUCUUAGGUCAGGGUGGUUAGCAAAGAAGACUCCAAACAUGUCCCAAAUCUAGAAAAAAGAGGCACUCAGGCAACCAGCCAUCACAGCCAACACAGGGUGAGGGGCUGCACUGUAUCCAGUAAUUUCAAUCAGUUCUGCAACUCCGGCCCAGAGGUGGGUCCACCACGUCCAGUAACUCACCUCCCUCUCAUACCAGUUGGCUGCCUUGUACACCGACACAGAAGACUCAAUGGGUGUCAGCUCAUCUGUAUAGGUCUUCACACGGAUCCGGGAGUUGAAACGUAGAGAGAGCAAGUUGUAAACAAUCUAGGGAGAAUGGAGGGAGCUGGAGGACCAAGAGGACCACAGGCUGAGGGGUCUGGGACAGAAGUCCCUGAGUGGGAGCAUAAUAAUGAGGAUACAGGGUGGGUUAAAGUUCCACCCUGUGAACCUGCUUUCUGUCCCGAAGUUCAAAACCUCAAGAUGCUCUUAUACUUGCAACUACUUCCAAAGGCCUAAGCCACCCUAUAGCUCAGCCUGUCAGCAUGCUUGUCUUUGCUCAUGCUACUGGAUGCCUCCCGACCUGCCCUCCCUCACUGGGCUAAUUCCUGGUCUCCUAGUUAUCCAUUAAGAUUCAGCACAAACUUUCUCUCUCCCUUCAUAAAAGCCUCCUAGACAGGGCUAAGUGCCUCUCCUGUGUUCUUAUAAUAUCCCAUGAAUUAUGU